GGACGGACUUCUGGAGAGACCUUAAUAGGCGCCGAAGGGGCAAGGCUUUACUGCUCAAUCUCUCAGGCAAAAGGACAGAAGGUAACAA
rfam:Streptococcus iniae ITSA1 contig001, whole genome shotgun sequence.